rnacentral:misc_RNA from 1 species
UGCUUGAGGGUCUUGUGCACCCCGCACAAUUUGUUGGUGGUCGACAUAUAAGCGCGUAACAGCGCAUCUGUGUGGGUGCGUGUGCCGAAGAACUCUACGUUGAGAGACAUACCCAUAUAAGGCCCCGGGUAGCCGUCUCAUUCGACGCAGCGACGAGACGAGUCUGAGAGGAAGAACGCGUCGGGACGUGACGCACAUUCACAGACGCAAAGUCAAGGGGCGCCGGUGAAUUUUCUCUCUGCUGCCUCUCGCUGUCCUUGUCUUUGGCGACGUGGCUUCCACAAAAGCCCCUGCCGUCACAUAAUUGGGUAGCGGGGAAGUGAAGCUUGCACACACAAGAUAGACACGCGCAUACGGAGGCAGGGAGCUGAAGGAAAGAGGAACCAAGAUCGAGGAGGGACGCGAGACAGCCGGGCACGUUUUGGCUGGAGUUGCCGUGCGUGCGUGUGCCUUUUUGCGGACUACGCUGUCUCUCUUUUCGCCUUGCCUUCCCACCACUACUACCACCACGACCGCUCAGCUGUCUCUCUUUUAGUUGAUUGCGUGUAAUCCAUACGAGUCUUUUUUUUCCUCCUUUGUUGCUACUGUGUAUCGCGUUACGUUGUCGUCUGUUUGCGGCGUCCUUUACAGUUUUGCUUUUGUGUGUGUGUGUGUGUGUGUGUCCGUUUUUUUUUGCUUUCGAAGAAUUAUUUCCUUGCGGCACACGCAGCGAAAAACAACAACACGCCAACCCAACAACACGCACACCCCAGACAAGCCGCUCCCCCCUCCCUCUCACAGAGCCACGCGCAGCGCAACACGGCGCGUACGCACCAAAAUUUGUUUCGUUGCUGUUGAUUUUGUUUAUCAGCCGUCAUCCCCCCACCCCUCCCCCUUUUCCAUUUUAGGUAUCUUCCCUCCCCCUCCCUCCCCUAAAAGAAAAAAAGCCGCUAAUUCCAUCAACACUCAUCACCUACACACCGCCACUCUGCGCGCUUGUUGGCGGAAGCUGCGGGAAAGAGCUGUCUGUGUCUCCCACUGCGACAGCAACAACAGCAGUGUAAAGGCGUCAUGCAGCUGGUGAGCCGAACGAUGAGCUGGAAUACAACCUCUUUUUUCACCGGGUCCUUAGACCUGGAGGACGAGGUGAAGGUCCUGGGCGACUACGUCGUGGGCCAUCGCCUCGGCGAGGGUGCGUACGGCUCCGUCUAUGUCGUCAAGUACCUUCCAUCGGGGGACCGCUUCGCGUUGAAGAUUUUGCAGAAGCAGGAUCUCUUCACAAGCUCCGGCAUCUACCCCGUCGCCUACUACGACGCAGACGGCGGCGCGUCGCCGUGGGAGGCCGAUGGUGUGGAGUCGCACCCCCUCGGUGGGGCUCCUGUCCCCACGGUGGCUGCUCUGGCCAAGACCUUUGAGCAGCAGAUAAUCUCUGAGGCGAUGGUGAUGCAGGCCCUCGAGCACCCUCACGUAGUGAAGUUCUACAAGUUCUUGAAUUCCACGACAGCCUUUUACUUUGUGAUGGAGCUGGCGGAGGGCGGGAAGCUGUUAGACUUGAUUCUCUCCAAGAGCUAUUUUGCCGAGGACGAGGCGCGCAUGUACUUCCAGCAGCUCCUCUCUGCCAUCGACUACUGCCACCGCAACGGGGUCGCGCACAAGGACUUGAAGGCAGAGAACUUGCUGCUAAGCGACGACGGCCGCCUCUUGGUGUGCGACUUCGGCUUCUCCUCAAAAAUUGCCAAGGAGAACAUCGACGACCCGGAGCAGACAAUCGGCACGGGCGGCAACGCCGCUCUCCUCGACGCCAUUAACAAUGGAGGCAUGUUCGGGACGCUGCACUACACCAGCCCGGAGGCGGUGAUGGCGUCCUCGCAGCAGUGGAAGCUCGCCUUCGCGGGGGACAUGGCGGUGCCGGCAGAGACUUUGGGAGUCCCGGAGGACCAACAUCAGGGUGAUCCCGCUCGCUACUCCCCUUCUUCUACCGCGACACCCUGGUCCAGCUUCAGCACCUCGUCAUCCGCGGCGUCGAACGCAUCGUCGUGCAGCGGCUCAUUGGCGCGAGGGUGGCGGCGGAGGGCAGCGGAGGUGGUGAGUUCAAAGCACUGCAGGGCGCGCGGCAAAAUCAGCGGCAAAGGUAGCGGCGCCUCGCUGCGCACGCCAAACAGCACCAGCCUGACAGACGAGGCAGGAACGGCGCACAAGCCGUCGGUGGAGAAGAGACGGGCGCGACCUGAUUCUUUGACCCCACUGCCGUCCGCCGCCGAGGCCGCCGCCCCCGGCUCUUCUCUGCACCGCGCUGGUAGCACCCACAGCCUCGCCAGCGCCACCAACGGCCACAGGCACAAAUGGGUGUCGCCUACCAGCGGGCUGAACAAGGUCGGGGAGGGGCUUAGCAUCCUCGUAAAAUCCCUCAUGGGCAGCAGCGGCAGCAGCAGUGGCGGCCACCAUCAUCACCAUCAUAGACAUGACUCGCAUGCGCGCAGCGGCCACGCUAAGUCACCGCAAGGGAAGCAUGCAGCGAUAAUUGUGCCAUCAAGCGCUGAUGCCAAGGCCAAACUGAAGCUCUCGAGCAGCACUGCCGCUCUCUCCGUCGACGGAGAAGCGGAAGAGGGCAACUCUAGGCUGCAUCAGCCGCUGCGGCAUCUGCGCACCAACGCUCCUUCACAGGCGCGUGUGCCGUCGCCAUUGUCCGGUGCGUCGCCGUCCGUGUCCCCCACCACCUCGUCCUUUGCGAGCCCGCGAUUCCACGAGUCGGUGGCCGCGGCAGCAGCCUGUAUCGCCGAUUCCCCGAGCGCUACUGGGGCCGAAAAGCCCAGCACGCUCUCUUCACCCGCCGGCAGCCCAACUGACUCGAAGUCUGCCAUCACGUCACCAGCACGCCACCGCCCAGGCACGAAGGACGAUAUUGCCGUUUCCGACACCAACGUGGGUGAGCUCGGCCUUCCCGUCACGGCAUUCGACAGGGAUGCAGUGGGCGCGCCGCCACUGCCUCUGCCGGUACCGCCGACGACCGCCUCGACGCUGAAGACGCCGAACUCGAGCAGCGCGUCACCGCAGGCCUUGCAUCACUGUCACCAGGCUCAUGAGCACAAGCAUCACCACCGCCAUCGGCAGCGACGGUCCAACAGCAGUAGCCAGAUUUUCGGCGCUUCGACGCCAUGCAAGUCGCAGCCCAUCAUUGUGGAUCCUUUUCAGCAGGACUUGUGGAGCGCCGGCGUCAUUCUCUUCUUCAUGCUGACCGGCCGGUUGCCCUUCGAAGGCCGAGACGAAGAGGAGACGCUGCACUUGAUUCAGGUGAACGAGUUCGCCUUCAACGACGAGGAGGCCCAGCGCAUCUCACCGGCCGCGCGGAGGUUGGUGGCACAGAUGCUGGCCCCAGAGCCAACGGACCGACCCACCAUCGAGCAGAUCAUCGCAAACCCAUGGUUUAGGCGGGACUUGCAGCUCGAGAAGGACUUCCCGCACCGCAAGGACCUGAUGGAGGCGUUGGGCAGCGCGAGCCCGGACUCGGCACUCCGGCACCCUCUCCCUCAAAAGUCUGCCAAAGGAGCGGGGCCCGCAGCCGACGCGUGCGCGGGGCCCAGCGGCGCCGACCGCGGCGGUGACACAAGGGCCUGGAUGAGCACCAGCCAUGGCGUGCCGAGCUCAUGUGGCAGCAACGCGACCAACGCUGUUGCAGUGUCGCCUCGCUUCCACUCCUUCACCCCUGAUGUGCGCGCGCCCGUGCCGCUGGUGCCGUCGCACAACACCUCAUUCAACGUGGGACCGUCUGCACAUCCAGGCGGCGCGCCCGGCAGCAGCCCCGGCUCCGACCAGCACCGCGACGCUUCCGCGCACACUACCUGUAACUUCUUGGACUUCUCUACGCAUCACUCCAUCACCCCAGAGGAGGAGUGGGUGCUCGAGACAGCAUUUCGAAAGGUGGACUCGGACGGCUACGGCUGCAUCACGCGGGACCAGGUGCGCGAUAUGCUCACGACCCUCCACGGUGACGUCGUCCCAACCGAGGACGUCGACGAGCUUGUAUGUCUCUUCACCGGCGACGCGAGUGCCGCCAGCAUCACCUUCCAGCAGUUUCGCGAUGCGUGGGUGAGCAAGGACCUGGCCCACACACCCUUCACUCACAACAGCGAGUUUCAGUUGGUCAACAUCAUUGGGACGGAGAUGGACGCGGUUGAGCGGGGGGUGGUGCGGCAGCUAAGGACGGCAUUCAACAGCCUCGACGAAAACCACCGCGGCGUCAUUCAGCUCCAUCAGGUGCAGCGCGUCUUUGAGAAGUGUCAGAUAGCUGUGCACAAGGAGGAGUGUCUCUCCUUUAUCAAGUACUUCCACGAGUCAGAGCUGGCUUGCUGCCACAACCGGGCUUCCCUCUAUUCGCAGCGGCGGGGGCCAGCGCCGAACACGAUGAGCCUCUUGCACGCCUCCGGGGCUGCAUCGCCUCGGGGAUUUGCAAAAGUUCACUCGCUGCCCUCCGCGACAGGUGCCACGCAGGGCGGCAGUCCCGCGACGACGCACUACGGCGCCACCACACCCAAGCAGCCGUCCGAAACGGGCGAUUCUGACACCGCCACGACCACCGCCGCCGCUGGUGGCACAACCUACACCGGCUCGCAGGCCACAUCGCGGGGGGCGCCGAAAUCCCCCCUGUCGCCGUCUUCCAUCACCGUCUCCUUCAACUCUUUCGUGCGCGGCAUCGUGAAGAGCGACAUUCUGCUGAAGCACCCCCUUGGCCGCAAGCUGGCUGCCGCCACGAACCUCGCCGCGCUGUUUCAGUCCCGCAACGUGACGGAGUGCGUGCGGCACGGCUUUCUUGUCACUGGCCUGCAGAGCGUCAUAUUGACGAAGCUGGCAAGCAUGCCGGAGCGACUGCAGCUGUUGUACUCAGACAAGGUGGUCUCCAACGCUGCGAACGUCUACUCGUUUCGGUACCUCGGCUCCUCUUCGCUGGCGACGAUGCCCACGACGAGCACGGCGACACCGCCGAUGUCUUCGCCGCUGGUGGCCAUGGCGGCGAGCACAGACCCGGCGGCGACUUGCUCCCCUAUAGGAUUGCAAGGCAGCUUUUCGGCUCAGCACCGCAACCACGCCACUCCGGCGGUGUCUUCACUGCAACGACGCACUGUCAGCUCAGAUGCUGGCAAUGGCGCAACAGGCAGCACGGCGGCGACGAGCAACGCUGGCACCCACCCCCACAACCCCAGCCCUUGCCUGUCUGACCGAAGCACUGUGCGCUCGCACGCCACGUGCACGAAGCCGUCGUCUGCCAGCCCCCACAGUCUCGCGCGAGCAGACUCACCCGGCUCUGCCAUGCACUCUCCCAGCCCAGAGAUCAGCGGCAGCACGCUCACAAGUUGCGGCGCCUUCGUCUCGCAGUCGCAACGAAGCCCCGCUGUGCCGAUGCAUCGUUCGUCAAGCCGCCCCCGAGCGACGGGCGGCACCUCUGCGCACCGGAUGGCAUCGCGGAGCGCUAGCGCCAGGGGGGCGGCUCCAAGUCACCCCGUUGCCCUUUGCUGCCCCUCGAACUCGCUGCAACACACCCCGACGUCGCUUUGCGCUCGCCGCCGGCACCUUCGCGGGCAGGACGCGCACACCGACCCUCGCCACGACACGGUUCGCGACGGUGACGGCGUUCGUGACAACACACGCGGCUUCUCUUCCUGCCCACACAACAGCUCCUCCGCCGUGAACACCGCCAUCGACGACAGCCAUAGUAAGCGCAGCCGCUCAGCCCUCUCCCCCGGCAUGGGGGAGGAGCUCAAGGGCCCGAACACCACGCCGGCAGCUGGUGGGCAGCGGAGGGUCAAGGAGAACGUCACACAGCUUCCCUUCCCCUCCAUCUCGAGCGCGGUCGCCAUCCUGUCGACGACGUCAGCGACUUUGGCGCAUCCAGGAGUGGCCUACAGCAGCAGUGACGCGGUGACGCUGGUGAAUGGCGUGUGCGACCUAGACGUUAUUCUGUCGCCUGCCAGCCUGGGCUACACGAUGGUGCAGUUCCGCUGCAUUCAUGGCAAAACAAGCGACUUUCACGAAGCCGUGGCGUUUAUUUCGAAUGUCCUCGAGGUGGAGCGGGAGCAGGCGAUGCAAGACACCAUGACGCGCGGAGAGAGUGAGCUCAUGUGAAGAGAAUUGGAGGCCUUAAACGACAUGGUGCAUGAGUGUGUGUGUGUGUGCCUGCAUGUAUAUGUAUUAUGUGUAUAUGUGUGCAUGUGUGCUGGUGUAAGAAGACGCAAUAUGGCAGGCGCAACGAGCGUCUCUUCUAUCUCUCUCUCAUCUUUCGCUGUGACUCUACUCCCAUAGGCCAAAACGUACACACACACACAAGCGAGC